ACGGAAGGCAGCAGUGGGGAAUAUUGGGCAAUGGGCGAAAGCCUGACCCAGCAACGCCGCGUGAAGGAAGAAGGUCUUCGGAUUGUAAACUUCUUUUAUGAGGGACGAAGGACGUGACGGUACCUCAUGAAUAAGCCACGGCUAACUACGUGCCAGCAGCCGCGGUAAUACGUAGGUGGCAAGCGUUAUCCGGAUUUACUGGGUGUAAAGGGCGCGUAGGCGGGGAUGCAAGUCAGAUGUGAAAUCUAUGGGCUUAACCCAUAAACUGCAUUUGAAACUGUAUCUCUUGAGUGCUGGAGAGGUAGAUGGAAUUCCUUGUGUAGCGGUGAAAUGCGUAGAUAUCAGGAGGAACACCGGUGGCGAAGGCGGCUUGCUGGGCUUUUACUGACGCUGAGGCUCGAAAGCGUGGGUAGCAAACAGGAUUAGAUACCCUGGUA
rnacentral:rRNA from 1 species